UGGGGAAUAUUGCACAAUGGGCGCAAGCCUGAUGCAGCCAUGCCGCGUGUAUGAAGAAGGCCUUCGGGUUGUAAAGUACUUUCAGCGGGGAGGAAGGGAGUAAAGUUAAUACCUUUGCUCAUUGACGUUACCCGCAGAAGAAGCACCGGCUAACUCCGUGCCAGCAGCCGCGGUAAUACGGAGGGUGCAAGCGUUAAUCGGAAUUACUGGGCGUAAAGCGCACGCAGGCGGUUUGUUAAGUCAGAUGUGAAAUCCUCGGGCUCAACCUGGGACCUGCAUCUGAUACUGGCAAGCUUGAGUCUCGUAGAGGGGGGUAGAAUUCCAGGUGUAGCGGUGAAAUGCGUAGAGAUCUGGAGGAAUACCGGUGGCGAAGGCGGCCCCCUGGACGAAGACUGACGCUCAGGUGCGAAAGCGUGGGGAGCAAACAGG
rnacentral:rRNA from 1 species